UUGCUGGUGGUGAUCAGUGGCGAACGGGUGAGUAACACGUGAGUAACCUGCCCCAGACUCUGGAAUAACCCCGGGAAACCGGAGCUAAUACCGGAUAUGACACCAACCUGCAUGGGUAUGGUGUGGAAAGUUUUUCGGUCUGGGAUGGACUCGCGGCCUAUCAGCUUGUUGGUGAGGUAAUGGCUCACCAAGGCGACGACGGGUAGCCGGCCUGAGAGGGCGACCGGCCACACUGGGACUGAGACACGGCCCAGACUCCUACGGGAGGCAGCAGUGGGGAAUAUUGCACAAUGGGCGAAAGCCUGAUGCAGCGACGCCGCGUGAGGGAUGACGGCCUUCGGGUUGUAAACCUCUUUCAGCAGGGAAGAAGCGCAAGUGACGGUACCUGCAGAAGAAGCACCGGCUAACUACGUGCCAGCAGCCGCGGUAAUACGUAGGGUGCGAGCGUUGUCCGGAAUUAUUGGGCGUAAAGAGCUUGUAGGCGGUUUGUCGCGUCUGCCGUGAAAAUCCGAGGCUCAACCUCGGACUUGCGGUGGGUACGGGCAGACUAGAGUGUGGUAGGGGAGACUGGAAUUCCUGGUGUAGCGGUGAAAUGCGCAGAUAUCAGGAGGAACACCGAUGGCGAAGGCAGGUCUCUGGGCCACUACUGACGCUGAGAAGCGAAAGCAUGGGGAGCGAACAGGAUUAGAUACCCUGGUAGUCCAUGCCGUAAACGUUGGGAAC
rnacentral:rRNA from 1 species